rnacentral:rRNA from 1 species
AUACGUAGGGGGCGAGCGUUGUCCGGAAUGAUUGGGCGUAAAGGGCGCGUAGGCGGCCCGGUAAGUCUGGAGUGAAAGUCCUGUUUUUAAGAUGGGAAUUGCUUUGGAUACUGUCGGGCUUGAGUGCAGGAGAGGUAAGUGGAAUUCCCAGUGUAGCGGUGAAAUGCGUAGAGAUUGGGAGGAACACCAGUGGCGAAGGCGACUUACUGGACUGUAACUGACGCUGAGGCGCGAAAGUGUGGGGAGCAAACAGGAUUAGAUACCCUGGUAGUCCACACUGUAAACGAUGAAUGCUAGGUGUGGGGGGUAUCGACCCCUUCUGUGCCGCAGUCAACACAAUAAGCAUUCCGCCUGGGGAGUACGGCCGCAAGGUUGAAACUCAAAUGAAUUGACGGGG